AAAAAAUGGAUUAUAAUUUGUAUAACCCUGUUGGGAUUUCAAAUGGGAGUUUUAAUGGUCAGAUCUGAUUUCCAGCCUCUUCAGUGCUGUCAUCAGUGAUUUAAAGGCACGUUAUUGAUAGUAUUUCACAGUCAAACACAAUUAUGGCCCAGGUGAUUUAUGCUUAAAAACACUAAUUGAUAGGUACAAGAGACAUUGUUUUAUGCACAUUAUUGAUAGUCUUUCACAGUCAAACACAAUUAUGGCCCAGGUGAUGUAUGCUUAAAAACACUGAUAGAUAGGUACAAGAGACAGUGUUUUAUGUGAAGAUUAUCUCAGGAAUAUCUAUAUAAUUUAUAAAUAAGUUUACAAGGUGAGCUGAAUAUACACAAUCACAUUUAGGUUCCCGAGUAACAAACAAAUGAGACCACCACUAUCUUUGUUUUAAGUUCUUUAUUUCCAAUAUGACAAUUGUCGGUCAUCUUUUGCAGGUCAAAGGAUUAUCAAUCCGCGACAUCCACAAAACUUCACAUCCAGUAAUGGGCAACUCUAUUCCUACCUGAUAUGAUAGAAUAAUCCAUCAGCACAGUAAUGGC
rnacentral:lncRNA from 1 species